GCCUCAGUAGCUUAGUGGUUAAAGUGAGUGGUUGUUAAUCCCAAGUCCUGAGUUCAAUUUUCACCCCAGGCC
rnacentral:tRNA from 1 species